CUCUUGGCAUUCUGCGGGGUGCGGCGCGACUCCAGUCUUGACAUUCUCGGAUGAGGGUCCAGUCAACGGCGGGAGCGGGUGCAUGGUUAUUGGUUAGCCGCUGGUUUUUCAUCCGAGCAACGGUGCGAGAAAUGGGAGUUCCUGUUUCUGAGACGUCAUCGACUGAGUGCUCUUCUGAUG